rnacentral:rRNA from 2 species
GCGCAUGCUAUACAUGCAAGUCGAACGAACUCUGGUAUUGAUUGGUGCUUGCAUCAUGAUUUACAUUUGAGUGAGUGGCGAACUGGUGAGUAACACGUGGGAAACCUGCCCAGAAGCGGGGGAUAACACCUGGAAACAGAUGCUAAUACCGCAUAACAACUUGGACCGCAUGGUCCGAGUUUGAAAGAUGGCUUCGGCUAUCACUUUUGGAUGGUCCCGCGGCGUAUUAGCUAGAUGGUGGGGUAACGGCUCACCAUGGCAAUGAUACGUAGCCGACCUGAGAGGGUAAUCGGCCACAUUGGGACUGAGACACGGCCCAAACUCCUACGGGAGGCAGCAGUAGGGAAUCUUCCACAAUGGACGAAAGUCUGAUGGAGCAACGCCGCGUGAGUGAAGAAGGGUUUCGGCUCGUAAAACUCUGUUGUUAAAGAAGAACAUAUCUGAGAGUAACUGUUCAGGUAUUGACGGUAUUUAACCAGAAAGCCACGGCUAACUACGUGCCAGCAGCCGCGGUAAUACGUAGGUGGCAAGCGUUGUCCGGAUUUAUUGGGCGUAAAGCGAGCGCAGGCGGUUUUUUAAGUCUGAUGUGAAAGCCUUCGGCUCAACCGAAGAAGUGCAUCGGAAACUGGGAAACUUGAGUGCAGAAGAGGACAGUGGAACUCCAUGUGUAGCGGUGAAAUGCGUAGAUAUAUGGAAGAACACCAGUGGCGAAGGCGGCUGUCUGGUCUGUAACUGACGCUGAGGCUCGAAAGUAUGGGUAGCAAACAGGAUUAGAUACCCUGGUAGUCCAUACCGUAAACGAUGAAUGCUAAGUGUUGGAGGGUUUCCGCCCUUCAGUGCUGCAGCUAACGCAUUAAGCAUUCCGCCUGGGGAGUACGGCCGCAAGGCUGAAACUCAAAGGAAUUGACGGGGGCCCGCACAAGCGGUGGAGCAUGUGGUUUAAUUCGAAGCUACGCGAAGAACCUUACCAGGUCUUGACAUACUAUGCAAAUCUAAGAGAUUAGACGUUCCCUUCGGGGACAUGGAUACAGGUGGUGCAUGGUUGUCGUCAGCUCGUGUCGUGAGAUGUUGGGUUAAGUCCCGCAACGAGCGCAACCCUUAUUAUCAGUUGCCAGCAUUAAGUUGGGCACUCUGGUGAGACUGCCGGUGACAAACCGGAGGAAGGUGGGGAUGACGUCAAAUCAUCAUGCCCCUUAUGACCUGGGCUACACACGUGCUACAAUGGAUGGUACAACGAGUUGCGAACUCGCGAGAGUAAGCUAAUCUCUUAAAGCCAUUCUCAGUUCGGAUUGUAGGCUGCAACUCGCCUACAUGAAGUCGGAAUCGCUAGUAAUCGCGGAUCAGCAUGCCGCGGUGAAUACGUUCCCGGGCCUUGUACACACCGCCCGUCACACCAUGAGAGUUUGUAACACCCAAAGUCGGUGGGGUAACCUUUUAGGAACCAGCCGCCUAAGGUGGGACAGAUGAUUAGGGUGAAGUCGUAACAAGAGCCAG